GACGAACGCUGGCGGCGUGCUUAACACAUGCAAGUCGAACGGAAAGGCCCUGCUUUUGUGGGGUGCUCGAGUGGCGAACGGGUGAGUAACACGUGAGUAACCUGCCCUUGACUUUGGGAUAACUUCAGGAAACUGGGGCUAAUACCGGAUAGGAGCUCCUGCUGCAUGGUGGGGGUUGGAAAGUUUCGGCGGUUGGGGAUGGACUCGCGGCUUAUCAGCUUGUUGGUGGGGUAGUGGCUUACCAAGGCUUUGACGGGUAGCCGGCCUGAGAGGGUGACCGGCCACAUUGGGACUGAAAUACGGCCCAGACUCCUACGGGAGGCAGCAGUGGGGAAGAGUGCACAAUGGGCGGAAGCCUGAUGCAGCAACGCCGCGUGCGGGAUGACGGCCUUCGGGUUGUAAACCGCUUUCGCCUGUGACGAAGCGUGAGUGACGGUAAUGGGUAAAGAAGCACCGGCUAACUACGUG
rnacentral:rRNA from 1 species